ACGUUAGUUAGUGAGUUAAUUCAUUAAUUGUUUGGGAGGAAAAUUGAUGGAGAUCAAAGUUUUUAUUGUAGUAAUGUGUCAUUUGCGUUAGCAAGUUAGGAUUUAAGUAUCGAUUGAUAAGAUAUGAUACAAUACGAUCUUUGUAGUUUAUAUACAAUUUAUUAUUGGUUUACAUAUGAAUACAAAGUCGAGUAAUACCAUGAAAGAGUUAAUACAUUGUAGUUUACAUGCGACCUAUUGUCGAUUUAAUAUUCCUCCAGUUUUGUUUUUAACUCGUAGUUUAUAAUCAUUGCUAUUUGUAUGUGUUUUCCAAUGUUGCUUAUGGGUGCGUUUGGUACGUGGGACGGGACGGGACGGAACGGGACGAGGCGUUCCGUCCCACGUUUGGUGCGCCAAAAAUGAGUGGAACGGGUUGUUCCACGGGACAGAUUUUGGAUGUUUUUGCGUCCCACCUCCCCCUGGAACGGGUUUGUUCCACGUCUGUGGAACACAAUGUUUUACCAUUUUAAGACAAAUAUACCCCAUGUCUUUUUCAAAAAUUACACCUUCGUUCCGUCCCGUCCCGUCCCGUCCCGUCCCGUCCCGUCCCGUUCCGUCCCGUCCCGUCCCGUUCCGUUCCGUCUGCGUACCAAACGCACCCUAUAUACUCAUCGUCAAUGUUUAUGCGUUCCAAAAUGUCCAAAAGUAGCGAUGAUACCAAACUAGUUUAAUUUUUUAAACUCUCUUGCACACAACUAAUUUGUUUUUUUUUCUUUUUUUUUUAAACGAUACUAUCUAUACUGGGUUGGUCUUACAAUGAGCUAGCAAUAAUGUUGUAUAAAUUCGCUUUUAGCGAGAAUCGAAUCUAAGAAUUCUCACUCGCAAGUGAAGAUAAAUAUCACUGGACCGUAUGACAAAGUGGCUACAACUCGUUUGUUAGCUAAUCGUAAUACCUUAAGUCUAGGAAUUGGAUCAACUAUUGCCUUUUAAAAUACGACCAAGUACAUUAAGUGCAAUAAUACAAUUGGUUGGAAUUUAAAAAAAAAAAAAAAACUUCGAACCAAUUAUAUUAUGACAUUUGUUGUACCGAGCCAUGUUCCUGUACAAUAAUCGCGUCGAAAAGGGAAGAGUAUAGAAAAAUAGUUUUUUUAGUUAAUUCUACCCUUACUUAAGCCAACAAGUUCCUCUCCAGAUCCUUUUGGUGAAGAUCAUGAGAAUCUAUAAAUCAUGUGAUCAAUUUUUGUCAGGAACUGUUUAUAUUUAAUUUUAAAUAAAAAUAUUUA
rnacentral:lncRNA from 1 species